CACGUAGGGGACGAGCGUUGUCCGGAUUCAUUGGGCGUAAAGCGCGCGUAGGCGGCUCGGAAAGUCGGGCGUGAAAUGCCGGGGCUCAACCGGGGAGAGUCGUCGGGGACCGCACCGCUUGAGGGCGGUAGGGGCUGGUGGAAUGCCUGGUGUAGUGGUGAAAUGCGUAGAGAUCAGGCAGAACACCUGGGGCGAAGGCGGCCAGCUGGGCCGUCCCUGACGCUGAGGCGCGAAGGCGUGGGGAGCGAACGGG
rnacentral:rRNA from 1 species